rnacentral:rRNA from 1 species
AACGCUAGCUACAGGCUUAACACAUGCAAGUCGAGGGGAAACGACAUCGAAAGCUUGCUUUUGAUGGGCGUCGACCGGCGCACGGGUGAGUAACGCGUAUCCAACCUGCCCAUCACUUGGGGAUAACCUUGCGAAAGUAAGACUAAUACCCAAUGAUAUCCCACGAAGGCAUCCGAAUGGGAUUAAAGAUUUAUCGGUGAUGGAUGGGGAUGCGUCUGAUUAGCUUGUUGGCGGGGUAACGGCCCACCAAGGCUACGAUCAGUAGGGGUUCUGAGAGGAAGGUCCCCCACAUUGGAACUGAGACACGGUCCAAACUCCUACGGGAGGCAGCAGUGAGGAAUAUUGGUCAAUGGGCGAGAGCCUGAACCAGCCAAGUAGCGUGCAGGAUGACGGCCCUAUGGGUUGUAAACUGCUUUUAUGCGGGGAUAAAGUGUACCAUGUAUGGUGUUUUGCAGGUACCGCAUGAAUAAGGACCGGCUAAUUCCGUGCCAGCAGCCGCGGUAAUACGGAAGGUCCGGGCGUUAUCCGGAUUUAUUGGGUUUAAAGGGGGCGUAGGCCGUUUUUUAAGCGUGUUGUGAAAUGCCGCGGCUCAACCGUGGCACUGCAGCGCGAACUGGAUGACUUGAGUGCGCGGGAGGUAGGCGGAAUUCGUGGUGUAGCGGUGAAAUGCUUAGAUAUCACGAAGAACUCCGAUUG